rnacentral:rRNA from 1 species
CUAGACCGUAAGGUGAUACCUGGAGAGAGUGUUGUACCCCAGCAUAAGCUGGUGGUUGCUGACUUCCGCUUUCGGAUUCGUGUCCAGCGGGAUAAGCAUGCCAAAGUCGCUAGAACAAAGUGGUUUAAGCUCAAGGGGGAGGUAGCUCAGGCAUUCAAGGAGAGGGUCAUUAAGGAGGGCCCUUGGGAGGAAAGAGGGGAUGCGGACAAUGUGUGGAUGAAGAUGGCGACUUGCAUUCGUAAGGUGUCCUCGGAGGAGUUUGGAGUGCCCAGGGGAAGGAGAAGCGAAGAUAAGGAUACCUGGUGGUGGAAUGAUGAUGUCCAGAAGGCGAUUAAAGAGAAGAAAGAUUGCUUUAGACGCCUAUACCUGGAUAGGAGUGCAUACAACAUAGAUAAGUACAAGAUGGCGAAGAAGGCCGCAAAGCGAGCUGUUGGUGAAACAAGGGGCCGGGCAUAUGAGGACCUCUACCAACGGUUAGGCACGAAGGAAGGCGAAAGGGACAUCUAUAAGAUGGCCAAGAUCCGAGAGAGGAAGACGAGGGAUAUUGGCCAAGUCAAAUGCAUCAAGGACGGAGCAGGCCAACUCUUGGUGAAGGACGAGGAGAUUAAGCAUAGAUGGUGGGAGUACUUCGACAAGCUGUUC